rnacentral:misc_RNA from 1 species
UUCACAAAAGCACAUUGAUUUCUCCUUGAAAAGUCCAUUUGGUGGUGGGUGUCCUAGAAGAGUGAAGAGAGAACCAGAGAGUAGCUAGCAAGAAGUUCUGGUGGAGAUGGAGAUGAAGAGGAUGGAGAAUGAGUUAUGAGUUCAAGAACAUGCUAGUAAAACGUGUUGCUAUUCAACAUUACUGCAUUGUUGUUUUGGUUUCUAAACUUUAAUAUUGGGUUUGUUUUGUGACUGGUUAAAUUAUGUAUCCAAAAAAUGAAAAAAAAAAAAGAUAGUAGAUUUGAUGCUCAUGGAGUCAACAUCAGGAGGGACUUGAGCACCCAAACCUGUGUAGUGGAGAACCAAGUCUAGUAGCAGUAUGAACAGAAGCAUCGUUAGCAUUGCAAGGCCAAGUAGAUGUAUCAUUUCAAGCUCUGCUGAGCAAGUAUGAGUCGCCGAAGAGAUGAUUGGACUGCGUUUUCACAGUACUUAAAAAACCACAAGCCACCAUUAACGUUGGAUCAAAACAGACCAAAACUGCCAGAAACAAGGCACCAGAGACUGGUUCAGAAAGGUAUCUGGGCUUUAGAGCCUGAGAGAGAGGAGAGAGAUUAAGAGAUUAAAUAUUUAUUUAUUAAUUUUAUUUUAAAUGGGCUUCACAUUUUUAAUUAAAAAUUAUUUUUAUUAUAACUAUGGGCCCUACUACUUUCUUUUCUUCCUUCUUCGAACCUGGAAAACAAAUGAUGCUCAAGUUGAAAUUUCAUUUCUAGGAAAAUCAUAUCAAGUACUAGCGCUCUCUAUAUAUACUAACUUGGUACAACUACGCAACUAACUAAUUCAUUAUUGAUGGGGAAUGGGAGAGGAGUAUAAAAUAGUCACUUUUGGAAAUUAUAUUUAAGCUCAUUCCAAUAUUAAAAAGAAAAAGUAAAUAUUGUGUCCUCAAAGCAGUCCAAAAUGAUUAAGAUACAUACUCUAAAAUUAGCAAUAUUUGGCUAGGAAACACAUCAAGAUGAUAUCGGAAAAACAUCAAAUAGAAAUAAUACCUCACAUUGAGAUUGUUGUAUCUCCUCAUGUAAAUCCCUAGCUCCAUGCAACAAACCAGCAAGUUCAUUUGCAGAUCCCCUUUUCUUAGUGAAAAUAAUUGUUUGGCCUUCAUUGAAUAAAAAAUUAUCUCACAAAGAUAAAUGUAAAAAAUUUUUCAACUAGACCAAAAGAUUAUUAAAAUAUCAUAAACAAAUAAAGAGCCCAAUUGAUUUGCUAUAACAAUGAAUGAUAUCAAGAACAGGGAUUGCUAAAGUAAAACUGUUUCAACACCAUCUCUUAUUGCUUGUACAUCCUCAGAUUUAUUAUAUAAAAUUAAUAUUUAAUCAUUCUUGUUAUGGAUACCCUCAACCAAGUUCAAGAUCAAGAAAGAAUACCUCUCCCAAAAGAAGCAAAUCAACAGGAAGCCCAUAGUUUUUUUAUGAGUACGAUGAAAGCGAUCUCGCUUUUACCAGGUUACAAGCUUUAACACAUUCCAAGUCAACUAUUUCAUUAUAAUGAGCAACUAUAUCACUGUUGAUGUUGUAAUGAAUUGUGACUUUAUUUUACAAUUGAAAUGUCAUCAAAUGCAUUCAAGUUCUUUUGAAUCUAAUUUAAAGCAUCAAAUAUCAUGGUUUUGUUGUUUGUAAGCUAUUGAACUUCAAAGCUGAUGGUGCAAAUACAAUUGUUGAUACAGUUCUGUCAAGAAAAAAGAAAGAAUACCACUCUUGCUUUGUCAUUGCAUGAUAAGGACCUAAAGUAAAAGGUUCACAUAUCUGAUCAUAAUGGAGUAAACCUUUUUCAUUCAAUAGAGAAUACAAAGCUAUGUAAGCAUGGCAUUCAAAGAGAACAAAUAUGUUCUACUCUAUUUUUAUCAUAAAAAAACAGGGGAUUUUAUUGUAUCAUUCAAUAACAAAUUUCAUGCAGGCAAGUCAAUCAAUCAAACAAAGAUGCUAUACUUAAGUCAUUGUAGAUUAUCGUUAGAUUAAUAAAGAUAAUGAUUGCUCCAUAGUCUAUAUUUUGACUGGUUAUAAGGAAACCUAAGAAAAGGCUUGCCUAUUUCACCCUUCACACUAUUACCAUACUUUUAUAGAUAGAAGAAAACUAUUUCUAGUGCUGCUUUAGAUCGAUGUGGUCCUUAACAGGGUUCAAGUGUGAUUGUGAGUUUUGGUUUUGCAUGGUUGUUUAUGUUUUUUUAUGGUGUCAGAGUUUCUAGGCAUGAGUUUGUAUAUUUUGUUUUUUCUUUUUCUCAAUUUUUAUUCAUUUAUAAAUCAUGUUAAUUUAUUAAAUAUUAUUUUUUUAAUCCAUGUCAACAUGCAACUAAUAGAGAAAGACGGAAAGUCGUUCUUUGCUAAUGGAGCGAAACCUUAAGGUACCACUUUAUCACAAAAAUGAAUCACAGACCCUGAAGUGAAAAUGAGUAGAAUUACAUGGUACCUUUUAUUAAUUUCCCUAAAGGAAAAUAAACCUAUUUUGCCUUGUUUGGGAAGGGAAGGAGUGAAAAGAAAAUAAUUGAAAUUAUCAUUUUACCCUUAUUUUAUAAAUUGUAUUUUUACUAUAUGACUACAAAUCCAUAAAUAAUAAUUGUAUCAAAAUUGUUU